AGAAGAAUAACGGUGCAAUUCUCCUUUGGCAGAUGAAAUAGUGCACAUUGCACACUUUGUAGUAGAAAAAAUGUAGUGCAAUCAUCCGCCAAAGGAGAAUUGCCCUGCUAUUCAACU
rfam:Gossypium arboreum cultivar AKA8401 contig_25246_1, whole genome shotgun sequence.